UACGUAGGGUGCGAGCGUUAAUCGGAAUUACUGGGCGUAAAGGGUGCGCAGGCGGUCCUGCAAGUCAGGCGUGAAAUCCCCGGGCUUAACCUGGGAAUGGCACUUGAAACUACGGGACUGGAGUAUGGCAGAGGGAGGUGGAAUUCCACGUGUAGCGGUGAAAUGCGUAGAGAUGUGGAGGAACACCGAUGGCGAAGGCAGCCUCCUGGGCCGAUACUGACGCUGAGGAGCGAAAGCGUGGGGAGCGAACAGG
rnacentral:rRNA from 1 species